rnacentral:lncRNA from 1 species
UCGACACUUAAUUGACAUGCAUAAAUCCGUGGCUAGAAUAUAAGGAAGUUUCGCAUAAUCGUUACAAACUUAUAUUCACAUGUAGUGAAGGUCGCUUAUAAAUGAUCGCAUUAAGUUCAAUUCCUAGCAUAAGCGACAUGAUGUCAUAGUUGCAAGUGCUUUGUCAAUGCUUAUGAUUUUCAUUAAACGUAAUGAUCUUUGAUUGUAUCUCUAUUAUGAUGUCAUUUAGGGAACUUUUGAAGAAUGUUUUGGGUUGUCGAAUGAUGUCAUCCAAUCCAAUAAAACAAGGAAAAUCUUAGAGUUAACUAGUGAUGUCACGGUUAAUUUGGAGCAUUGUCGUUCAUAAUUCAAUGAAGUAGUAAUUGGAAAUCGAGUUAUUUGCAUACAUGUCAUGUGUGGAGAAAAAACCUCUAGCUAUCCCAUCCAUCAUCUUGUUUCUCAAAUUUGUUUUACAAUCUUUCUAGUUUUUCAUACUUGUUUGUUUGUUUCAAAUUCAUCCAAAUCAAAACCCCCCUUUUAAUUUCUUGUUUCAAAGUGUUUCAAUUGUCAAAAGAGGGUUAAAUUUGUGUGUUAAGUUAAUUUUUGCAUCAGUGAUCAUGCUUGGGAUAUCCACGAUGGGAGAUCAAUGUCUACCCUAUUAGACUAUGCAUAUGGUUCUGCUAAGUAUAUCCGCGAUGGGGAGCCAAACGCAUACUAGGAGUGAUCAUGCUUGGUAUAUCCACGAUGGUUGAUCAGUACCUAGUACUAUAGGAUACGGCCAUGCUUGAUAUACCCACAAUAAAGGGCCAUACAUAUUUGAGGAGUGAUCAUCCUUGGUAUAUCUGAUGACUGAAAACCUAGGAUUGUUAUGAGUGGUUGUGCUUGGUAAAUUCGCGUUGAGCGACCACUUCUUAGUGGGAUUCCAUUGAGUGAUCCAAAAUCACAGCUCUUGGUCGAUUCCAUUGAUGUAGUACAAACCUAAAUUCUUGUGAAUACAAAUUGUCAUGGUAAACGUAUGUGUCGGUAAAUUAGGUUUACAAUAUUGCUUGAGAUCCAGGUAGGGAAAUACAUUGAUUGGCUUUAUUAAGUUUUGUGAAUUAACACUUGAUCUAGUUAAUUGAUUAACGUAGUUAUAUUAUGCAUCUUUGAGUCAUUGAAUCAAUUAAUUGAUGUGAUUAUGGAAUGAUGUUGGCAAACAUUGUGAUGUAUGUGGAUGGUGAAAUGACAAUCUUGAUUGCUAUAUGGAUCAUUACGUAGUCCGGAAUCCAGUUAGGCUCGUCGAGUUUCAUUGAAUGUGAUGCGUAAAAUAAGUUAACACACAAAAUUAAACCCUCUUUUUAUCAAAUGUAGUAAAGUAUGUAAGUAGGGA